AGUGAGAUACCUGUUCCUUUGUCCACGGCUCCUGAGAUAUUCAGGGAAGCAUUAACUCCUCAGAAAUC
ensembl:misc_RNA